AUUGAACGCUGGCGGCAUGCCUUACACAUGCAAGUCGAACGGCAGCACGGGAGCAAUCCUGGUGGCGAGUGGCGAACGGGUGAGUAAUAUAUCGGGACGUGCCCAGUCGUGGGGAUAACGUAGCGAAAGCUACGCUAAUACCGCAUACGAUCUAUGGAUGAAAGCGGGGGAUCGCAAGACCUCGCGCGAUUGGAGCGGCCGAUAUCAGAUUAGGUAGUUGGUGAGGUAAAGGCUCACCAAGCCGACGAUCUGUAGCUGGUCUGAGAGGACGACCAGCCACACUGGGACUGAGACACGGCCCAGACUCCUACGGGAGGCAGCAGUGGGGAAUAUUGGACAAUGGGCGAAGCCUGAUCCAGCAAUGCCGCGUGAGUGAUGAAGGCCUUAGGGUUGUUAAAGGCUCUUUUUACCAGGGAUGAUAAUGACAGUACCU
rnacentral:rRNA from 1 species